UGUGCCAUUAAAAUGACUUAAACUGGUCUGGUUUCCACCACAAGAAGUUUUGAACUCAUUAAAAAUGAAUAAAUCCUUCUGGGAGGCAAAAAAACUGGAAAAUGAUCAAAAUCCCAACUUAACUAGCUGGCUCAUAGCUUGAUUGUAUUAUGCUUGAAACUGAAGGAACUCCUCUCGGCCCUUUAUUUUCUUUCAGUGCAAAAACCAGUAUGAGUGAUCAAGCAGCAACUUUCUUGGAUGUUACAGAAUUGACAAUCACAGCAAAUUCAGGACCCUGCACCACCGAAUACUAAGUUGUAAUCAUCAACUCCAAAAAGAAACAUUAAUAUCUUUAUCGAAACUGCUGGGGAAACCAAAUUGUGCCACUUAAUAGCCUCACUAACAGUCAGAUGAUAUUAUAAUUUUUCAUAGAAUGUGAGACAUUUAGGCCCUGUUUAUUUAGACUGCUAUCUGUUUUCACUUUCAGAGAAAACAUGUUCGGAAUGCAUUUUUCCAUUUUCAUUUUCUGGAAAACUGAACUCAAAAAAUAGAAAAAGCCAAAACACCAAUUUGAAUUUUUCAAUUUUUUUCUCAAGAAAACCGAACAAAAAAAAAUUGAAAACAAAAAAAGAAAUAAAAUCACAUAAACCUAGUGACACCUACAACAUAAGAGGAAUACAAAUAUUACAAAUAGGGAAAAAAACAACCUUAGAUUGUGAUUGUUUUCAAGGGUAGAUCUAAUGUUUCCAACUAGGACUUCCAAGUCCAAAUGUAAUCAUAAAUACCCCAAUAUAUAUUUUUUUGACUAUAUCACAAGGCAGAUUUAGCAUCCCAAGAAUCUUCCGCACAAACAAAAAAGGGAAAAAAGUAAGAAAAAAUAUACGAAAAGCAAUUUUUUAUCAUCACUUAGAUUUGUAAUUUGAAAAUUAAAAAAAAAUCUUUGGGAAAUACAGAAUUUGAUUCUACCAUACGAUUUUUUGAACUUCUUCAUUACAUUACAUUUCAAACUGUAAAACUGCUUUUAGGUGUCAAGAUUGAACUAGAGACUUCAACUCUCAAGGUAUUGUCUAAAAAAAAUCUUUGCAAUAAGGAUCAAAAAUGAAAAAAAUCCAGAAUGUUCUCAGUGCCUAUUCCCAAUUGGAAAGACAAAUUCUGUAUUGGUAUCUCAAGUCAAUAAACACGACUUAAACAACAAAUUCAUUAUCUACAAACUUACAUUUGCAAUGCUCAAAAAGCUAGUCCAGGGAACCAUGCACAGUCCAAAAGAUCAUUAACGGCACUAUUUGACUUACUUUUAAGGAAAGUUAAACCAUUGACUAAAACAAGAUUGGCUUCACAACCAUUACAAACAGGACAGUUCCCAAUAAGACUAGUUCAAUAAACACAUGGAAAUAAUGCUUAGAUGAAUUACCGAGACAAGAUCUUUAGGAUUCAAUGCCAAGCUUAAACAAGAAGAAAUCUCAUUGAUGUUUUCAAGCACUACAAUCAGCCCAAAUUGGAAAUCGGGUGCAAAUAUCUAAAAAGACCUUCAAAAAAGCAUCUUUCCAAAUAUAGUAAACUUGCAAGAAAAACAUUCACAAUGAAAAUUAAUCAAACAAAAAAAACUAUAUAUAAGAAACUCAGAAGAUACUAUAUAUAAUAAAAGCCAUAUAUAAGAAUAUAUAAUAAUUCAGUACGUUCAUUCAAGAGUUUCUUCAACUACGUGCAACUCCAAGCAGAGCUCUUUGUGCCAUGAAGGGAUUUCAUGUUCUGGAUGUAUCCCAAAACAACUAUUCAUUGGCAAACACAAUUUGUAGCAGGAGUUUUACAAUCAUAAAUGGAUGGUGUAGCUUGAUUCAGUCAUGCUCAGUUUGCAGAGAUCAAACAUGCAUUAUAAUCCUUCUGCUAUCCUCCCAUUACAAACAAUGGUAUUUGAAAAAUAGAGAGCCAACAAGUUUUAGCCAUACGUGUGGUUUUUGGGUAUUAGUAUUUCACAAGUACUUGCCUGGUCCUCAUUUAACCAUGUGUAAUCAGUGGCCAUGAUGCAGCUUUCCUCUCACCACUAAAGGUAGCUUAGGAAGGCAGCUAACUCUUCGACAGCCUGCCUAGAGCUCGCUGAUGUUUGACCUGUUGCAGCACAUGUCUGAGUAUCGGAAGUCCACCUUUUUAUGUAAUUGAAGUAAACAUGCGUACAUGAACUAGGAAUCUAAUAGUAAGUAUAGGAGCUUGGGCUUCUCUCUAGCAUCAUUGUUAUGCAAAUUAAAGAACAACGAAUAAUACUUGGCCAUGAAUUACUAGGCUGGGUUGAUUGAAAUCACAUCCAACUAAGGGAAUAAAAACAUAUAUACACACCCAACAAUCAUCCAGGGUAAGAGGGGGUUCCAGGCUUACCUUUUUUACGGCAUAACUGAAUUCCAUCGGAACCGCUUCCAAUGAUUAAAGUGAAAUAAAUAGAAAACCAAAUAAGACAUGUUAGCUGAAUAAAAAGAACAAUAAAAAGAAUUUUAAAAAAAAAUCAUCGUUAUAAUUUGAGUUAUUUGAACUUCUUACUUUAUAUUUGGAAAGUUAAUGUUAGUGCUAUUUUCCUAGUAUGGAUUGGAUAUAUAAAAUAACAUUUGCAUUUGUUUUACUUUUUAAAUCGGUCGAUGCAAUUAAGAUUACUACAUGUGCAAAAGUGAUGAAACUAAAAAAAUGUGUGUGAGAGAGAGAGAGAGAACGACAUAGGGCUCAAUGUGUACAAAUUAGAGAAGUGGGAGUAUGGUCUUAAAGAUUCCCAACAUGUAUUUCAUUUUCAAAUAUGCUAUAAAUUUCUUUUAAAAAAAAUUAUAAUUAAAAAAUGUAGCAUGAGUAAUUAUAUUGGUCUUACAUGUUAAUUCAAGAAAUAAGUGAUAGGUAGUAAUUCUAGACUUUUAUAAACAUAUAUUCUAUCACUUUUUUAUGUUUAUUGCAUUUUUUACAUUCAUUUAUAUAGGAAGGGGGGGAGUGAUCAGUGAUAUAUAAAAAAUUUCAGUAUAAGAACUCCUUAUCUGUUAAUUAAAUAACCAAUAUAUUAAGGUAUAACAAAAUUGGUAAUUGAAGGGAUCCAAAGCAGAUAGGUGAAGGUAGUUACCAUGUAUAAUCCCAAAGAGGAAUUCUAGACCUUCUGAACAUGAGAAGAAGCUGGAACCUGGGAAGCCUAAUUUUUACCUCUACCAAAUUUAGCAGCUCAUCAAGUCCCGAGAACUUCGUUUUAGAAUAAAAUUGUAGUUGCAUAAGCCAUGGCAUCGUGCCUUUCUCUAUGUUCAAUUUGUUCAAUUCCCUCAACCCAAAAAGUUGAAGAACUUUGAGUUGAGGAAACCCAUUUGCAGAUACAUGCAUUUCCUUUUCAAGAUAUGACUUAGCCCUCAAUCUGAGAGUCAACAAUUUUGGCAGCUUCUCCAAAACGACCAUAGGAUCAUGAUUUAGCCUAGAUGCCUCCAAUGUCAAUUGUGUGAGAUUUGGUGAGAACUCAAUAAUUUCAGGCAAUUUUUGCAUGUGUCCCUUUAUGUCCAACUUAGAAAGAUGGAGGCAAUAGUUUAUGGCAAAGGGUGGAAUGCUGGAAUCAUCUGAUGCCUUAAGGUACAAGGAUUUAAGACUAGGUAGCUUGGCAAUGGAGUUUGAAAACAUAGCCCCUUCUACCUCACACCUUCCUUCUAAUUUCAAUUUCUCAAGACAAGUUAAGUUGCUUGAAUCGUUCUUGAUCCAUUGGUUGAAGGUUAUGCCUGAUAGAAUUUGAAGAUUUUGCAAUGUAUCGAUUUGCAGUGGAACAUCUCCCUCUUGCCUCUCCAUGUAAAGAUAUCUCAUGUUUUUAAUCUUCCAUAUCACAUUUGGCACUUGUCUAAGAUUGUUUAUCUCCAGAGUCUGCAAACUCCUCAGGUUGCCUAUAGAUGGUGGGAGCAUUUUUAGACCAGUAUGCCUUAAUCCCAAGUACCUUAAAUGAAUCAGUUCCCCAAUCAUACUGGGUAUGCAUUCAAUUUCUAAACCUUCCAAAUCUAACACUCUAAGCACUUUGAAGCAUUUGACAAUGAAAUCUAGUUGUGAUGCUCUACAAUUUUUCCCCAAAUUGAAAAAUAAGAGAGAGCGAAGAUAUGGAGUUAAAUGUUCAAUGGAAGCGCACCUCUCAAAGUCAGAAUAAAUUCUUCGGGAUUUAGAUGAAAAGAGAGAUGAACUGGUGGAGGAGGGUGGAGGAUCUGCAAUAUUAGUUCCAAUGAAGUUUUGUUCUUUUGCCUUUUCAAUAGCCAACUCUCGUACAAGGUCAUGAACCCGACAUUUCGUAACCCUUGCAUUAACACUCAUUCUCACUACUAGAAUCAAAUUUCUAUUGAUUAACUCAUUCAAGUAAACCUCAGCCACGUCUUUCAUUCUUCGGUCAUCUUGUUCUGGCACAAAACCCUCAGCAGUCCAUAAAAGGAGCAAUUUUCUCGAGGAGACCACAUAAUCUUCUGGGAAGAGGCUUAAAUGAAGAAAGCACGGUUUCAAGUAAUGGGGCAAGUCGAUGUAGCUCAGGUUUAGCAUUGCCAUUACUCCCAUUUCGCCUUCUUUAGCAAGGUAUGCACUAAUGUUAUCGUGCACCUGCUUCCAUUCUGUAUGUGACAUAUUUCUUGACAGCAAACCCCCCAGUACAACGAUGGCCAAUGGCAAACCAUUACAUUUGUCCACCAUCUCUUCCCCAAGUUCCUUCAAAUCUGGAGGAUAGCUCUCGCUAUCAGCAUCAAGGAACGCCUUCCUACAAAACAAGUCCCAGCUCUGUUGUUUCGAAAGAAGCCGCAUUUCAUGGGGAAUAUUUCGAGCAUCUGCAUGCAAAGCAACAUCCUUAUAUCGAGUUGUAAGAAGUAAUCUGCUGCCGUUACUCCCAUCGGGAAAAACAUUUCCAGGGCAAUCAGGAUCGUUGCUGCUCACUUUUGCAAGAAUAUUCCAAUGGGCACAUUUCCAUACAUCAUCCAGAACUAUCAAAUAUCUUUUCUCCUUCAAAUGAUCAUUAAGGAAAUCCCCCAACUCGUUCUCUCCAUACUUCUCUAUCAUUUCUGCUUGCUCUUUAGUUGGUGCAGAAACCUGGUUAAUAAUUUGCAUAUAAACCUCUCUGGGUCUACAAUCUUGGGAUACAUAAAUCCAGGCACGACAAUCUGGAAAGUGUUCCACAAUUUUUCAUGAUUAUAGACCUUCUUGGCAAGGGUGGUUUUGCCUAUGCCGCCCAUUCCUACCAAAGAAAUCACGCGGCGCCUUUGGUCUCCUACGGUGAGCUGCUUCACUAGCUUAUCUGCCUCCUCUGUAAGGCCCACGAUGACACGUUCUUCUGCACGAGGAGAGGAGCGUCUUAGAUCCUGCAACAUUCGACCCGAACCGCUUGUUACUUCUCCAAUAUUUUUUAUUCCGAGAGCCUCCCGCCUAUUUGAGAUGUCUUGGAGGGUAAGUUGGAUGUCUUCAAUUUUGUUGCCAACCUUAUGGCGGUUUAUCAACUUCUUGAAGACACGCUUGAGAAAGUAGUCUGUUCUCAGGGACUCUGCAUUCAGAAUGAACAUGUCUAUGAUGUCCUCAACAUCAUAAACCGCAUCACGGAUUUCAGAAACCCACUUGCGCACUCUUAAAUCUUCUUCUUGCUUCUUCUCCGCUUCUUCCAAGAAGCAUUUCAUGGCCCCUAGAUCUUUAUUCAGCCUCUCAACUUUCCUCCGUACCCCCUUCAAGAAAAUUGCUUCUUGAAUGAGCAUGUCACCGAACCUUUCAACCGCAAAGGAAACAACAGCCUCUGUCGCCAUUGUAGUGUUCUCUCACUGACCCUUUCUUAACUCUGGAUGGAACUGAUUCUCUCAAGAAGGAACUACUCAAGUUUUGGUGCUAUCAAACCCCCAGGUAACACCUUCCUUUAAAAACUAACACGGAGCUUCGUUUCUGGUUUUGGAGAAGGCCACCUAGAAAAGAAAAGCUUCAUCUUUUCAAUGCCAAUUACUCGUAAUUGCCUGUCAGAAAAAUUAUGCAACUGGAACAGUUUCAUACUAUAUGAGAUUACCUACAAUUAUAGGAUGAGAUAAAGUAAAACAAAAGCUGGACAAUUCUUGUGGCGCACAACGAUCAUGAAAUUAAUGGCCUGGUCCACACCAAUCCAAUGCUUAUCUACAUAUGGGUCAUCUUACUUUGUUCUGUUCUUUGUGUGGGCCUCUAGAUUUAAGAAUCAUUCAUGCACCUGGCCAGGGCUUUUCAACUGAUUUAUCCAAGAUAAUUGGAUAUGACGACAUCAAUCCUCUGGUAAAUGAUGAUCUCAAAAACUAUUGCUUCCAUGGAGAAAGAAAGAAAGAGAUUAUCUUCGAAUCAGUAAACCAACCAAAUUAUACGAGUGUAUAGGGGUUCAGUUGGACUCAGGUGAGUGAAGUUGCCUUUCAUAUAAAAGAUAAAUUUGAAUGGGAUGAGAAAAUUAUGCAAAUGGAUAGUUGCAUAUUGUUUGAGCUUCCCUUCAAUCAAAGGAUGAGAAAAAGUUAUAUAAAAGUUGAACAAUUCUUAUGGCACACAAUGAACAAUCAAUUCAAGAUGUCGGCAGCGAUCUAAAUGCCUAUCUACACAUGGCCCAUCUUGCUUUGCUCUAUUGGACAAUUCCCAUGGCACACAAUGACCAAUUAAUUCAAGGUGUCGGGACCAAUCUAAAUGCCUAUCCACACAUGGACAUGGGCCAUCUAUUGGACAAUUCUCAUGGCACACAAUGACCUAUCAAUUCAAGUUGUCCGCACCAAUUCAAAUGCCUAUCUGGACAUGGACGAGGCGUCGGCACCAAUCCAAAUGUCUAUCUACACAUGGACAUGGGUCAUCUUACUUUGUUUUGUUGGACAAUUCUUGUGGCACACAAUGACCAAUUAAUUCAAUGCGUCGGCACCAAUCCAAAUGCUUAACACGGAAAAUAAUUAAAAGCUUAUCAUUAAUAUGAGAUUAUGAAUUUCAAAUUCUUCAACACAGACUCCUUUAUCUAGAAAAUGCACUAUGCCAUUAAAAUGACUUACACUGGUCUGGUUUCCACCACAAGAAGUUUUAACUCAUUAAAAAUGAGUAAGUCCUAGAAGGCCAAAAAAACUGGAAAAUGAUCAAAAUCCCAACAUAACUAGCUGGCUCAUAGCUUGAUUAUAUUAUGCUUGAAGCUGAAGAAACUCCUCUCGGCCUUUUAUUUUCUUCCAGUGCAAAAACCAGUGUGAGUGAU
rnacentral:lncRNA from 1 species